GAUUAACGCUGGCGGCGUGCAUAACACAUGCAAGUCGAACGAUGAAACUUUACUGACUUCUUCGGAAUGAUUUAAAGCGGAUUAGUGGCGAACGGGUGAGUAACGCGUGAGUAACCUGCCUUACACAAGGGGAUAGCCUCUGGAAACGGAGAAUAAUACCCUAUGAAACCAGACAAUCGCAUGAUAAUCUGGUCAAAAUGUUUAGUGGUGUAAGAUGGACUUGCGUCUGAUUAGCUAGUUGGUGAGAUAAAAGCUCACCAAGGCAACGAUCAGUAGCCGGCUUGAGAGAGUGUACGGCCACAUUGGGACUGAGACACGGCCCAGACUCCUACGGGAGGCAGCAGGGGGGAAUUUUGCACAAUGGGGGAAACUCUGAUGCAGCGACGCCGCGUGAUUUAGAAGGCCUUCGGGUUGUAAAAAUCUUUUGUAUAGGAAGAAAAUGACAGUACUAUACGAAUAAGGUCCGGCUAAUUACGUG
rnacentral:rRNA from 1 species